UUGCCACAUACGAUGAUGAUAAUACAGUUCAGCAGACAAAAACUGAUUAGCAAUAUUAAGUGUUUCACUCCUUUCUGAUGUAGAAC
ensembl:snoRNA